UACAGAGGUCUCAAGCGUUGUUCGGAUUCAUUGGGCGUAAAGGGUGCGUAGGCGGCGCGGUAAGUCGGGUGUGAAAUCUUGGAGCUUAACUCCGAAACUGCAUUCGAUACUGCCGUGCUUGAGGACUGGAGAGGAGACUGGAAUUUACGGUGUAGCGGUGAAAUGCGUAGAUAUCGUAAGGAAGACCAGUGGCGAAGGCGGGUCUCUGGACAGUUCCGUGACGCUGAGGCGCGAAGGCCAGGGGAGCAAACGGG
rnacentral:rRNA from 1 species